GACGAACCGUGCGAGCGUUGUUCGGAAUCACUGGGCAUAAAGGGCGCGUAGGCGGCUUAUCAAGUCAGGGGUGAAAUCCGGCAGCUCAACUGUCGAAGUGCCCUUGAUACUGAUGAGCUCGAGGGAGGGAGGGGUGUGCGGAACUUCCGGUGGAGAGGUGAAAUGCGUUGAUAUCGGAAGGAACGCCGGUGGCGAAAGCGGCGCACUGGACCGCUUCUGACGCUGAGGCGCGAAAGCCAGGGGAGCAAACGGG
rnacentral:rRNA from 1 species